UACGUAGGUGGCAAGCGUUGUCCGGAUUUACUGGGCGUAAAGGGCGUGCAGGCGGUUUGUUAAGUGCAGGGUGAAAGCUCCCGGCUCAACUGGGAGAGGUCCUUGCAUACUGGCAGACUUGAGGGAGGCAGAGGAAAGUGGAAUUCCCGGUGUAGUGGUGAUAUGCGUAGAUAUCGGGAGGAACACCUGUGGCGAAGGCGGCUUCCUGGGCCUUACCUGACGCUGAGACGCGAAAGCGUGGGGAGCGAACCGG
rnacentral:rRNA from 1 species